GAGAAUAAGCAACAUCAUGGCAACAAUCCUGUCUGUGCUACUCCCUCCCUGGCACAUUGUAAACACUCACAAGACACUGGAGACCACACUUACUGAGGACCCCAAUGACUUAAUGUAAGGAAGUACGCCUAGUUGGAAUCUCUACACUUUUUACUUAGGGUACUUCCUUCCUCGAAUCUGGAGUUUCUAGCAUCUUUCUACUCCAAGAAAUGUGACAAGCCUCCUCUGCUGCUCUCACCUUUCUCCUUUCCAUGGCGAGAAACUUAAUGAGAUCACUCAAGGCCUUGAGACCAAGAAGAGAGCAAGUCAAGGAAGAAUGAAAACAGCACGGUAAUGUUGAUGGUGAGAAGUCAAGGUAAAGAAAGCUUCAGAGUAAGAAAUUAAGGGAGAUGUAGGGGGCUCUGUAAAGGGCUAGAGACCCCAUUUGGUCUGGACAAAAACACAGCAGAUCCCUGAGGCUGGGCAAGAUCAUGAAAGAGGUUGUGAAUUGGAUUCAUCCUCAGUGUUUGUAGAGAAAAGUCUUAAAUUCUUGAAACCCUAAAAUCCUUUUAGUUUGUCAAAGUUAAUUGAAGAGUGAGUGAGUAUUCACAACUCUUUAGCUAUAAAAAUGGAGCUGCUCAUGUUAAGUGAAAGUUUUUGGCUGAAAGUGUGCCUAGAAGACAGCACUGCCAUAGUUCCUUCAGAGAGUGGUCAUGGUCACUUCUCAAGAGACACAUAUCAUAAACUGUGACUUUGGAAAAAAUUCUUGUCUUUCUCACUUACGAUCCUAACAUUUGUGAAGUCUAACUGGGGCAAGAGAAUAAAUGGAAGCCCACAUACAAUAGGUCUAAAUGUUUAAAAGUUGUAAAUCAGUCUAAUGAAACAUAAUCUAUUCUGCUACCUUGGUAAAUGAGUCUUCAUUAUGCAAAAUCAAAAAUGUGUGAAGGGAGUUCCCUGGUGGCCUACUGAUCAAGGGCUCAGUGUUGUGACUUCUGUGGCUUGCUUUGCUACUGUGCCUUGGGUUCAAUCCCCAGCCUAGGAACUUCUGCAUGCUGUGAGCAUGGCCAAAAAAUAAUGUGUGAAAGGUAUCUUUUUAUAAGUUGGAUAGUUUGUGGAAUAUCAAAGGCAACUGAAUUUAAUUAUUUUUGAGUACUGUUCUGGGUGUUCUGUUAUUGAGAUAAUGAUAUAAGUUUGAGUAAUAAAGACAAGAUUUUUAAAUGAUUAUA